CUAAACGUCUUUAUCGGUGUCUGUCUCUCUGAUCUGUUCAUCUUCCUCGGUAUCCAUAAUCAUUAAAGUAAAAGAAAAAGCUAUACAAAUCCAGAGUAAACACAGAGAUUUAUGUUGAAUUUGAUACUCGAUCUAUCGACUAAAGCUUGCACCCUUUGAUUUAACCAAGAAGAAGAAGAAGACAUUUGUCAUUCAGGAUGUCAUCGAGGACUCAGCUGAGUCAUACGGGAGACAUAUUAUCCGUUGUCUGAUUGUUCAAGAAGAGUUUGUGUUGUGAAACAUAUUUGUUUCUUUUCAUCAGUUGCUUUGUUUAAUCUUUUUUCCUGCAAAUAAUGAUGGCUUUGACAGUUCAUAUACGGGAGCUAAGAAGUAAAAGAAGAAGAAGCCAGUUGAACGAAGAUCAUUGAAUAAAGAAAAUGUCGAUGCUCCCGAAGAUUUGGAGGAGCAUCCUAAUGACGAGGAAGAGGUGGAGGGAAUUGAUCUGCACCAGCAACGUUACCGUGGGAGGGAAGUG